AUUGAACGCUGGCGGAAUGCUUUACACAUGCAAGUCGAGCGGCAGCACGGGGGCAACCCUGGUGGCGAGCGGCGAACGGGUGAGUAAUACAUCGGAACAUGCCCAGUCGUGGGGGAUAACACUUCGAAAGAAGUGCUAAUACCGCAUACGUCCUGAGGGAGAAAGCGGGGGAUCGCAAGACCUCGCGCGAUUGGAGUGGCCGAUGUCAGAUUAGCUAGUUGGUGGGGUAAAGGCCUACCAAGGCAACGAUCUGUAGCUGGUCUGAGAGGAUGAUCAGCCACACUGGGACUGAGACACGGCCCAGACUCCUACGGGAGGCGGCAGUAGGGAAUUUUGGACAAUGGGGGCAACCCUGUUCCAGCCAUUCCGCGUGAGUGAAGAAGGCCUUCGGGUUGUAAAGCUCUUUCGGCAGGAACGAAACGGCGAGCUCUAACAUAGCUUGCUAAUGACGGUACCUGAAGAAGAAGCACCGGCUAACUACGUG
rnacentral:rRNA from 1 species